rnacentral:rRNA from 1 species
GGCUACGGCCACGCCACCCUGAACACGCCCGAUCCCGUCUCCUCUCGGAAGCUAAGCAGGGUCGGGCCUGGUUAGUACUUGGAUGGGAGACCACCUUAGAAGACCAGGUGCUGUAGGUG